rnacentral:rRNA from 1 species
CAGCCGCCGCGGGAAUACGGAGGGGGCUAGCGUUGUUCGGAAUUACUGGGCGUAAAGCGCGCGUAGGCGGUUACUCAAGUCAGAGGUGAAAGCCCGGGGCUCAACCCCGGAACUGCCUUUGAAACUAGGUGACUAGAAUCUUGGAGAGGUCAGUGGAAUUCCGAGUGUAGAGGUGAAAUUCGUAGAUAUUCGGAAGAACACCAGUGGCGAAGGCGACUGACUGGACAAGUAUUGACGCUGAGGUGCGAAAGCGUGGGGAGCAAACAGGAUUAGAUACCCGUGUAGUCCCUGUCUCUUAUAU